UUGACCUCAAAUCAAGCAAGAUUACCCGCUGAACUUAAGCAUAUCAAUAAGCGGAGGAAAAGAAACUAACAAGGAUUCCCCUAGUAACUGCGAGUGAAGCGGGAAAAGCUCAAAUUUAAAAUCUGGCAGUGGCUCACUGCCCGAGUUGUAUUCUAGAGAAGUGUUGCUCACACUGGACCAUGUAUAAGUCUUCUGGAAUGAAGCGUCAUAGAGGGUGAGAAUCCCGUCUUUGACAUGGACUCCCAGUGUAUUUGUAGUAUGCUCUCAAAGAGUCGAGUUGUUUGGGAAUGCAGCUCUAAAUGGGUGGUAACCUCCAUCUAAAGCUAAAUAUUGGCGAGAGACCGAUAGUGAACAAGUACCGUGAGGGAAAGAUGAAAAGAACUUUGGAAAGAGAGUUAAAAAGUACGUGAAAUUGUUGAAAGGGAAACGCUUGAAGUCAGUCACAUUGGCCAGGGAUCAACUUGCUUAAGUGUACUUCCUGGUUGAUGGGCCAACAUCAGCUUUGACUGUCAGAGAAGGGUAGGGGGAAUGUGGCACCCUCUUGGGUGUGUUAUAGCCCUCUGUCAUAUAUGGCCGUUGGGGCUGAGGAAUGCAGCGCGCCGCAAGGCCGGGUUUCGACCACGUUCGCGCUUAGGAUGUUGGCAUAAUGGCUUUAAUCGACCCGUCUUGAAACACGGACCAAGGAGUCUAACAUGCCUGCGAGUGUUUGGGUGGAAAACCCGAGUGCAUAAUGAAAGUGAAAGUUGAGAUCCCUGUCAUGGGGUGCAUCGACGCCCGGACCUGAGCUUUUUAGCAAUGGCUCUGCGGUAUAGC
rnacentral:rRNA from 1 species